UGGGGGAUAUUGCGCAAUGGGGGGAACCCUGACGCAGCAACGCCGCGUGAAGGAAGAAGGUCUUCGGAUUGUAAACUUUUGUCUUAUGGGACGAAGAAAGUGACGGUACCAUAGGAGGAAGCCACGGCUAACUACGUGCCAGCAGCCGCGGUAAUACGUAGGUGGCAAGCGUUGUCCGGAAUUACUGGGUGUAAAGGGCGUGUAGGCGGGUCGUUAAGUCAGAUGUGAAAUACCCGGGCUCAACUUGGGUGCUGCAUUUGAAACUGACGAUCUUGAGUGCAGGAGAGGAAAGCGGAAUUCCUAGUGUAGCGGUGAAAUGCGUAGAUAUUAGGAGGAACACCAGUGGCGAAGGCGGCUUUCUGGACUGUAACUGACGCUGAGGCGCGAAAGCGUGGGGAGCAAACAGG
rnacentral:rRNA from 1 species